CAACAGAGAGAAGCAAUACCGCGAGGUGGAGCAAAACUUCAAAAAUGGUCUCAGUUCGGACUGUAGGCUGCAACUCGCCUACACGAAGUCGGAAUUGCUAGUAAUCGUGGAUCAGCAUGCCACGGUGAAUACGUUCCCGGGUCUUGUACACACCGCCCGUCACACCAUGGGAGCUGGUAACACCCGAAGUCAGUAGUCUAACCGCAAGGAGGACGCUGCCGAAGGUGGGAUUAGCGACUGGGGUGAAGUCGUAACAAGGUAAC
rnacentral:rRNA from 1 species